GGUAGUUUUAGUUAUGAUAUGUAAUUCGAAUUAUUUUAGCUAGUUAUUUUAUAGUUUUAAUUUUAUUGUAUUAUAUAAGGAAAUUAAGUUGGGAUUAUCUAAUUUAAUAAAAUAUAUGAUAAGAUUUAUUAAAAAAAGUUUAAUUAGAGGUGUUAGUUUUUAUGAUUUUAUAAUUAUAUAAUUAAAGAUUUUUGAGAGAUUAUUUUUGUAUAAGAUUAAUUUUUGAAAUUUUAAAAAAGAGGAAAUUAUGAAUAAAUUAGUAAAUUUUAUUAAAUGAAAAGAUUUUUUUUAAAAAAUAGAAAUUUUUUGAAUGAAUUAGGCAAAAUAUUUUUUGACUGUUUAGCAAAGACAUUGUUUUUUGAUAAGAAUAAGAAGUAAUUUCUGCCCACUGUAAAAAUAAAGGGCUGCAGUAUAUUAACUGUAUUAAGGUAGCAAAAUCAUUAGUUUUUUAAUUGAAAACUGGUAUGAAGGGAUAACAGUGAAUAACUUUAUUAAAAGAAUAAGUUAAAGUUUUUAAUUAUGUGAAAAUUCAUAAUUUAUAGAAUUAGACGAGAAGACCCUAAAAAAUUUUAUUAAAAGUAAUUUUUAAAAAAAGGUAAAUUAUUAAUAAUAUUAUAAAUUUAGUUUGAUUGGGGUGAUUGAUUUUUAACAUAAUUUAAUUUUAAUUUU
rnacentral:rRNA from 1 species